rnacentral:rRNA from 1 species
GCUCAAAUUUGAAAUCCUGCGGGAAUUGUAAUUUGAAGGUUUCGUGGUCUGAGUCGGCCGCGCCCAAGUCCAUUGGAACAUGGCGCCUGGGAGGGUGAGAGCCCCGUCCGGCGCACGCCGACUCUUUUGCACCGCGGCUCCGACGAGUCGAGUUGUUUGGGAAUGCAGCUCUAAGUGGGUGGUAAAUUCCAUCUAAAGCUAAAUAUUGGCGAGAGACCGAUAGCGAACAAGUACAGUGAUGGAAAGAUGAAAAGCACUUUGAAAAGAGAGUGAAACAGCACGUGAAAUUGUUGAAAGGGAAGGGCUUGCAAGCAGACACGGUUUUUACCGGGCCAGCGUCAAAUAAACGGGGGGGAAAAGGGGGAAAGAAUGUGGCGCGUGCCCUCGGGCUCGCGUGUUAUAGCUUUCUCUAAUACCGCCAUGUUUGUUUGAGGCCUGCGAAUUUCUAGGACGCUGGCGUAAUGGUUGCAAGCCGCCCGUCUUGAAACACGGACCA